UAAAUACCAAUACUUAUACUUUCCAUCCCUCAUUAUAUGAACACUCUCUAUACCACAUAAACCCUAGCAGCCGUACACUCUCAGGCAUUACUCCCAACAACCCAGCUUCGUUCGUCGACGUCGAAGAUCAUAGAAAACCGACCUGUUUCAUCGGGCAUUGCAGAGGAGAGGGAUAGUCAUGAUAAGGAGUCACUACCCUAGCCGGAGACUUGUUAGAGACAUACUGUGACACUGAUAAAAUCAUAGGAGGGGUGGAUAGACAAGGGGGAAAUCGAGAAGACGAAGUAGACGUUGUGGACACAUAUUUGAUUUGCACUGCUAUUGAGGUGAGUACGUAGAUGGUGGCCAGGUUCUCGAGGCGUGAGCGGUUUCCCCAUGGAUAUAGUUGAGGUUAUGGGUAGUGUAGGGUUGAUAUUAUAAAGACUUCCGCUUUGUAUAAAUUAUAAAGACUUAUUAGUUACGUCUCAAUAGAUUUAUGAAUACCUUUAUUUCAUUUUGGGAUUGUAUUAAAUGAUUUUUUUUGAGGAUUUGCAU